rnacentral:rRNA from 1 species
UACGUAGGGGGCAAGCGUUGUCCGGAUUCAUUGGGCGUAAAGAGCGUGUAGGCGGCCAGGUAGGUCGGUUGUGAAACUGGAGGCUCAACCCUUCAGAGGUCGACCGAAACCAUCUGGCUAGAGUCCGGGAGGAGGAGAUGAGUACUUCGUGGUGUGAGCGGGUGAAAUGACGCCAGAUAUCAGGAAGAACACCCGUGGCGAAGGCGGCGUCUCUGGGACGGUACUGACGCUGAGACGCGAAGCGUGGGGAGCGAACAGG